GGCGGAAGCCUGAUGCAGCAACGCCGCGUGCGGGAUGACGGCCUUCGGGUUGUAAACCGCUUUCGCCUGUGACGAAGCGUGAGUGACGGUAAUGGGUAAAGAAGCACCGGCUAACUACGUGCCAGCAGCCGCGGUGAUACGUAGGGUGCGAGCGUUGUCCGGAUUUAUUGGGCGUAAAGGGCUCGUAGGUGGUUGAUCGCGUCGGAAGUGUAAUCUUGGGGCUUAACCCUGAGCGUGCUUUCGAUACGGGUUGACUUGAGGAAGGUAGGGGAGAAUGGAAUUCCUGGUGGAGCGGUGGAAUGCGCAGAUAUCAGGAGGAACACCAGUGGCGAAGGCGGUUCUCUGGGCCUUUCCUGACGCUGAGGAGCGAAAGCGUGGGGAGCGAACAGGCUUAGAUACCCUGGUAGUCCACGCUGUAAACGGUGGGUACUAGGUGUGGGGUCCAUUCCACGGGUUCCGUGCCGUAGCUAACGCUUUAAGUACCCCGCCUGGGGAGUACGGCCGCAAGGUUGAAACUCAAAGGAAUUGACGGGGGCCCGCACAAGCGGUGGAGCAUGUGGUUUAAUUCGACGCAACGCGAAGAACCUUACCAGGUCUUGACAUUGAUGGACAGAACUAGAGAUAGUUCCUCUUCUUCGGAAGCCAGAAAACAGGUGGUGCACGGUUGUCGUCAGCUCGUGUCGUGAGAUGUUGGGUUAAGUCCCGCAACGAGCGCAACCCUUAUCCUUAUUUGCCAGCGGGUCAUGCCG
rnacentral:rRNA from 1 species